rnacentral:rRNA from 1 species
GUCUACCGUCAGGCUACCCUGAACAAGCCCAAUCCCAUCUGAUCUCAGAAGCUAAGCAGGGUCGGGCCUGGUUAGUACUUGGAUGGGAAACCAUCUAGGAAAACCAGGUGCCGUAAGCA